rnacentral:rRNA from 1 species
GACAGAGGCCCCAAGCGUUAGGCGGAAUCACUGGGCUUAAAGCGUGUGUAGGCGGAUCGUUAAGUGUCUUGUGAAAUCCCACGGCUCACCCGUGGAACUGCUGGCAUACUGGCGGAUCUUGGGCCAACUAGGGGCAGCCGGAACAAGCGGUGGAGCGGUGAAAUGCGUAGAUAUCGCUUGGAACGCCGAAGGUGAAAACAGGCUGCUGGGGUUGCGCCGACGCUGAGACACGAAAGCCAGGGAGGCAAACGGG